UUCGAGGGGCUCCCGGUGGGUGGUGGUACAAACGCUGCGGCCGCCGCCGCCGCCGGUCCUGCUGCUGUUGUUGCUGCUGCAGUCACGUGGGAGCCCCUUUAAGUUUCCAUAGAGAGGCCUCUCCGGUGUCACAUGAUGGACAUGAUAUAAUGAAACAACAUUGUGGAGAGGAAAGCAUUAGGGGAGCCCACGGCUACAAAACAAGUGCGUGAGAAGAGGUGGGAGAAAAAGAAACUACGCCACCUCUGCAGCCGAGCGCACGCAGCAGCCUGGCGUGACAAGUGGGCGACGCCGGGGGCAGGGAGUGGGGGUCCUCCGCCCGCUCCGGGGACCCUGUCGCCCACCGUGCGCAGAGCAACUUUUAACCGGCAGCCCCGCACCUGUCUCAGAGUCUCCAUCGCUCCCCACCACCAUCCUGGGAAAAUUCUAGAAGAAUACGCUCUCGGAAUCUAUGUGCGCAUCAUUUUCCCCCUCGCUCCGGAGGAAGGAACCAGAAAAGAGAGCAAAGCGGUGUCGCGUUCAGCCUCAAGAACCACCAUGUGUCCCAGGGACGGGACCCUCUACAGGAGGAUUUUCGUUCAGGAAUCUCUUAACUGCAUCUCGUUGCUUCUUCGGAUUAGAAGAAUUGAGCUAACAGGAAUCUGCAACCUCUCUGCCUUGCUGAUCCACCUAGGCAAGGCUCACUGGUUUGCAGGAGUGUGUGACCACAAAACAGAGCCACUGCAGGCUGCAAAAAUACCUGACUCUGGGCACUCAGGAAGACUCAAGCAGAGAUGGGGAGCCGGCCUGCCAGCUGGGAUGCCAGAGCUCACUUGAGGCUCUCCAUUUAGCUAGGAGGUUUCCAGGGCAACCACCGAAGCAGUAACUAAAGGAGCUAAAAGAGAGAAAAAUCACCGCAACUUGGUCUCUUUUUCACGGAACACAAUAAGCCACCAAAGAGGUGUGGACAGCCUACGACUUCCAUGGAAAUCGCGAAGAUGUCCUUUCUGUUCCUCAUCUGCCUUCUGCCCUGCCCCUGGUCAGCAAGUGACCAACUCAGAGGACCAGCCUGUCGUUCAGGAACAAGUGACAGACAAAGGAGGCAAAGAGGGACAGGUGCUGGCCAGAUUCGGUGACGAACAAGCCUGAUUCAGUGAGGGUGAGUGCCAGCAGUCCAUCUCCCGAGCCUUGCUGGAUGGCCGGACUUCUUCAGUUAAGUCAAAGCAAGUAAAGCCAAUGUGGUGUGUUCAUUUUCAGAUUGAAACAGGCCUAAUACAGAGAAGAAAUAACUUGGAAACAAACAUCAAAGAAGGAUAGUGGAAACGAUAUGCGAGAGAGAGAGAGAGAGAGAGAGAGAGAGAGAGAGAGAGAGUGUGUGUGUGUGUGUGUGUGUGUGUGUGGUGUGUAUGCGCUUUUGUGAGUAUGUGUGUGUGUCUGUGGGUGAGUGAGUGUAUUAAAGAAGUUGUGAGCAUCAGAAAGCCCAGCUAGGCCCCGGCUCCCGGUGCCCUUGAGUGUGUUUGUUAGCUGCGCCGUGCUGUGGCACUGAGGGACAGCCUGCCAGGCCUGCUCUGUAAGCAGAUCUUUUGGCUCAGGCUUGUUCUCAGUGGUCAGCUUGUAUACUGGUUCUGCCUUCCCUUCCAACACAGAAAAGCCUGGGGAUGUUGAGGCUUGUUUUCUUUUUAGAAAUAGGUGGGAAUUUUUGCCUGUGCCUUUAAAAUGUACUCAUCUGCCCCACAGAUCUCUUGGGGUUGUCACCAUUUUAAGCCUGGACCAUGAAUUCUGAACAUGGACUGCAGCCGCUACAGAGCCCUGCAGGGACCACGCUCAGUAGGAAGGGAAAGCUGCUUUGCCCUUAGAACUCCUUCUGGGCAGAUGAAAAGUACGAUUAAGGUCUCCCAGGAGCGAGUCAUGUCCUUGGCAGCCUAGAGUGUGCACCGACACACAUACACACAUAUAACUACCUACAGCCACUUCCCACCUGGAGUGUGUACUCACACACACACAUACAUACCUACAGCCACUUCCCACCUGGAGUGUGCACCAACACACACACACACACCUACCUACAGCCACUUCCCACCUGGAGUGUGUACUCACACACACACACAUACCUACCGCCACUUCCCACCUGGAGUGUGCACCAAUACACACACACACACACAUACCUACAGCCACUUCCCACCUGGAGUAUGCACACACACACACACACCUACCUACAGCCACUUCCCACCUGGAGUGUGCACCGACACACACAUACACACAUACCUACAGCUACUUCCCACCUGGAGUGUGUAUUCACACAUACACACACACACCUACAGCCACUUCCCACCUGGAGUGUGCACCGACACACACACCCCUAUAGCCACUUCCCACCUGGAGUGUGCACUCUCACACACACACACACACCUAUAGCCACUUCCCACCUGGAGUGUGCACUCUCACACACACACACACACCUAUAGCCACUUCCCACCUGGAGUGUGCACUGACAGACACACACCUAUAGCCACUGACACACACACACACAAGCACACACUGACACACUCCACUGACAGCCACUUCCUACCUGGAGUUUUUGUGUUGUUGAUUUAAUAUCCCAUCCAGGUUCAAGUAUUUAUGACAGGAAUGUGUGUGAAUGCUUAAGAUAGUAAGUAGUACUUGGUCUUUUGACUAUAGUGCAACCUGGAAUAGCAAACUUUUAGGUGGGGGAAGUUCUGGCUUUAUAAAUGUAACAUGGGUCAGUUUUCCAGAAUCUUUUGUAUAGUUGUUAUUCUGUCUUAACUGAAACUAAAACCAGAAUGAUCUGUUCAACUUCCUUUUCCAUCUUGCUUGUUAGUAUCCUUGGUUUAGGAAGACAUUUUUAAGUGUUUUCUUUUUUGUGACCCAACAUACUACAGACCCAUUAGAGCGUGGCGGGGGAGGAGAGGGAGAUGAACACUGGGUAAGUGGGCCACUACCAAGUAGCAGUGACGAUUCUGUGUGGAACAUUCUAGACCAAGUGUGAGUAAGUGUACGUGCCAAUGAAAUAAGGGAUGGCUUUUUGCUUGAAGAGUGAAAGUCUCCAGGACUAAGGAGACUCUCGUGCCACCUUAGACAACCUGUUCUGCAGGCACCAGAGAGAGGCAGCUCGGUGAGAACCAGGGACACAGCCGAACAGGUUCAGAGAAGAACCACACGGACCCUGAGUCUGUUCCUAAUCUGCAGAACUGCUUCCUGAAGGAGCUUUCCCCGAGAACGAAUUCACAAGCAAAGAAGGCUUCUUCCUUUCGAGGCCUGGUGGGGCAGGGGCCAUGCCUAGCUCACUGUUCGUGCUUCCAGGGGUGAACGGGCAUUGGACAGAUCAAAGCUUCUGGCUCGGAGCCCCAGUCUGGCUCCACCACGUCCUUGAGCAAGGAUGUAGAUGUGAAGGGCCCGACCUGAAUACCAACACAAGUUGACCGCGAAGCCCCCUAAUCCAUCCUGGUUGAGGACAGGUCCUCUGAAUCCUUCUCUCCUGUUUAGCAUCACAGAUCCAGCAGGCAGGCAGUGUAUAAGGCCCACAGAGCUAUUGGCUGUGGACAGACUGACCUACCUCUUCAUUCUAGACUUGUUAGCAUGUAGUUGUUAAAACUUAAAGUUUCUAGAAAGCCGCAUUGGCAAAUAACAAGUUCAAAAGUCACGCUGUGGCUUCAAGGCAGUUCCCAUAGUGCUUUGCCACUCACGAACCUCAUAGAGGUGGCCAGCAGGCUCUGGGGUACAAGUCAAGGUCAAGGUCCCGCUGUUCACUGAUUGGCCAGCCUUAGGCCGGUCCCCAGGCUCCCUUGCAUCCCUUAUCUGUAGCAUGGGUUAAUAGUAGACUUAGCCUGUAGGGUUGCCCAGAGAAUCCCUCGAGUAGCGCAGGAAGCAGGCCUAUGUGUCACCAGAUGAUUAAAUUGGCUUAAUUAGGCUGGGCGGCCUUCGAAAGAGAAGAUCCGCAAAAGGAGCUGGAACCCUGAGCUGGCGCCCUACCCAAAUGAGGCCACCAUGUCUCCCGUCCGUAAAGGCACUAGGCAAAGAGUUCGCUUCUUUCUGUUGUUUAAAGGGGAACUUUGAGUAAAUGUUAAGUAGACGGAGCGCUUUUGUAUCAGGGUUUUAUUUUGUUUGGAGAGGGAGGACUCUGUACACUUGAGUGGUGCCCACAAUAAUGCAGAUGGCAGGAAGGCGUGGAGCAGCCUAGGAACCCAGUCACAUUCUGAGUGUCUAGCCUUAGAGCACCCAGCAAACACAUCCCUCAAGUACGGUGUGACCUUCAGAACUGCCCUAGGCUUGGUGUGUGUGGUGUGCGACCCGUGCCCUCCCCAGCCUCUGCUGCGUGGCCUUCUAUCUCGGCAUUAUGUUCCUUCUUCUUCUGACAGUUCUGCACUGACCUCCCAGCACUGUCCCGUCAGCAGUCAGAGACAGGGCAGGACCAGCCACUCCCGCAGUUGCUGAUGGCAGAGGCUUGUGUCCCCUCCUCUGGUCUUGACACAUACCCCUCCCCAACCACUCUCGCCCAAAGUGAAGACUCAUUCUCAGCUGGAAAAAUGAAAGGCAAGACAAGCUCUUAAGAACAAGCUAGCCUUUCUCUAGUGCAUGGUGUCCUCAGAAGGAGCCCUGCUGUGACGGAUCCUCUCCCUCUGCCAUGAGUCUGAGCAGCCCUGCUGUCUGCAGCUCCGACUCCCUCUACGUGGCAUAAAUUAAUAGGCUUGGCAAAAUGCCAAACACCACACUUGGCUGGCAGCUUCAAAGGACACCUUAGUGUUGGAUGAUGUGCAGGCUGCUGUUAAUGUGACUGUCCCCCAAUCAGAUCUGAAAACAGUUUCUCCUGGGAAUCUAGGGGAUGGCAAUAGCCUCUCUUUAAUGCCAUCUGGUAGGAAAGGGGAUUUUUAUGUUUGAAAUUUUGGAAUAAACAAAAACAACUUUCUCUUAACUGCAAGGGUUAAUGCUCCAGUCAGCUUCAGAUGGGUUCUCUUGAAUCUUAAAAUUACUUUUCUGGUCACGCGCUCAGAAGGUCUAAGAAUUUGUGGAUCUCACCCCUACCCCACCCCACCCCCAUCCCAAAUGCUAUUCUCUUUGGCUGUCUUAAUUACACAGGGGUUGGGAAACCAAAUUAAAACUAGGCGUGGCUGGGUAAACAGCGAUCACAUUGCAGGCUUUUAGCUUUGCUCUUGGAGUUGUCUCUCCUCCCCUGUAGCUCUGCUUUUCACUUCUUAUUUUUCUGAAGGAAAUAGCAUAGGGUCUUUUGGAAGUAGUCACAGGAAGUGGGACUCCGAGGCUGGUUACUCAGCAGCCUCGGAGUCCUGACAGGUGGCAAAUACCGCUGCCUCCCUCCCGAUUGAUGUGAAACUAGCCCCCAGAGAGGCGAGCAUGAGGCUGGGUGCACAGCCCAAAGGGCUUUUUGUCCACCAAGUGGCUUUCACGAGGAGACUGGUCAUGGCAUGUCAUCUAAGUGGGGGGUGACUCAGAGCUGAGCUGGGGUCGCUACACGCACGUGGUAACCAGUCUGGAGUUUCUGCUCAGUUCUCAGAGUACAGGCGGUCUCCUAAAAAUGAUCUCUCCCUCCCACCCCCGACAGCCGUCCUUUCUCAGUGAGUCACUUCCAGAAAUGAAUAGCCGCAGAUUUUGGAAUGAGCAUUGUGAAAUCCCUCGUUUAUAAUGGCAGGUUUUCAGUUGGUGGCUUGAUCAGACAUUUUCUCAAGAUGAAAAUGAGACCUUGUCUUUAAAAAGAAAAAAAAAAAAAGAAAGUAAGCCCUGAGGAUUCAGAAAGCAAAAGUCUCCCACUGAAGAACUGUCAGCCGCUCUUGCCUUCAGUGUCAAGCUGUGAGUCCUUAGAUUUGCCUGCAUGGAUGAGUUCUUGGAAUUGCCGACCUCUCACCAGUAGUGGCUGGUGGUUUCCGAUGCAGAAGGUUACUAACUACUUGAAUCAGCUCUCUUCUGGGUGAGUAGGUGGUAGUUUCCCAAGGUGUUCAGCAGCUAGAGCCGUGGAUUUAAAAGGCUGCUGGCAGCUUUGCACACUUCUGCUUCCUGAAGCCCAGUGGAUGGUACUGCCGGCCAGCAUGAGGACCCCGAGGUGUGUUUUAACAGUGUGGAUGAUUUUUAUAACCACUCUGUCUUUUGAAUAUGGAGAUCUUUUGAGGAGGAGAAAGUAUUUUUGCAGAAGGAAGUGGUUUUUUUGGGGGGGGGACUUUCAGAGGUGUAAUUAUUGAGUUUCUAUGUUUAUUUUAAGCACCAAGACCCUUCUUUGGGGGUGAAGGAGAUAAAAGUACUUACAUGGUCUUAACAGAGAAGUUUUACUAAUUCUAAUGCAGCUAUAUGGCACUACUAACAGUACGCUCUGUCAAAGAAUACUAACCCCAUCGAAGACUGGCUAAUCUGACAGUAUCUUUUCUGGGUCUACCAGGCCCCAUGGGCUCCUGGGUUAGUGGGAGCACUUUGUGCAGGGCAGAGAGAAGGAGUCCAGUUACUGGAAGGGGGGGAGUGUAGCUGUAGGGACUGUUCUCUCAAGUGGAUCACUUGCUUGACCUACUGACUCAUUUCAUAGGAAUUGGAAAACAACUUAAUGUGGUUUUAUUGUUGAUACUCAAGGACUACAGGAUCCCCAGGCCUGGGAGGAAGGUGGUGCUGGCACCCGUGCCUUCUGCUGGCCUGCUCUCUGCUGUUCUCGUGAAAUUCAGUCCUCUGCUUCCAGGACAAGCCCAGCCUGCACUUGGGGUGACCAUUCAACCGUGAGUAUUUUUUUUUUGAAGCUCACUGAUUCUUGCUUAGAAACUUGUAAUUGGCAUUCUGUAGAAGGAAGAGCUUCAAACUAUGAUCAUAACUACAGAAGCACACAUGACCUACAGACAACCAUGGACGCUCAGAAUUAAGAUUUAUUCUUUUAUUUUCAUAGCAUGUACACUAAAAAUGAAGUUGUAGUUUUAUCUUACUUAAAGCAAAACAUGAGGUAGAUCAGAUAGAUACUCAUUUGAGGAAGUAAUAUGGUCAUGGCCAUAAAGACUUGUGAUCCCUGAUGCUUCGCUUUCCCACCAAGGCUGGCAAAUAAGCCUCAGAAGGGAACAAAGGAAGCGCUUUGAUGCUGUGUAAGAGCAGACUUAGAGCAGAUCCCCUGAGCUGUGUAUGUUACUCUCUGUGUUAGCUCUGCUGUCUGCCUCUUCUGAUCACAUCCUUAAUCAGCGGAAAGGAUGCUUGAUAGGCAAUUGCUGUGGGUGUUCUUAUGGGUACAUCUACUGUGUUAUGUCCGUUUAUUGAGUAUACUAAGUUAUGUCCUAAUGUUUCAGAGUUAGAGUUAUCAGUCUGUUCUAGAUUCUAGCCCUCCUCGCUGUCCCCACCCCAGAUUCUGACAGAAGCUCUGAACCACAUCAUUAUCUUUAACCACAUCAUUAUACUUUUGCUUGCACGUGGAGACAUCCACAGAAAUGGAGCUGCACCAGGUAUAGGAGGCUGGGCUGGACUCUGGGGCCUAUUCCUACUGGGCAGUUAGGCUACCCAAAGUACUGCUGCUAAAAGCAGGAAAUACUCAGGUGGAAGUCACUCCAUGUGGCUGCUGGGUGGAGAACCAGAACCAGAGAGAAAGACAACAGGGUGGAGAACACAUGACUAAGUAAAUAUUAGAUGGUUGAUAAUCAUCAGGGCUGUCACAUGUGGAGCCCAGAAUCCCUGUCUGAUUAGCCAAGUGCAUCUAUAAAGGAAUAUGAGUUUAGGUAGAGAGCUAAGGACUCAUCAUAAAUCACUUUGACUAGUUGCAUAUGCCACCAAAUCAGGUAGGGUGACCUGAACUUGAAGGUGUAAUUCAUAACAAAUUGGAGAGGUAGUUACAUGCCUGGAAGAAAUGCGGUAGGGAUAAGCGUAUGAGGAACAGGCUGAUAGAAAAGGAACAGUGUUUGAAAAAAAAAAUACAGCCCUUAUUGUUCAUGAGCUACAUUGAAACCAGUCCCGUGAGGCCAUUGUGGAAAAAGAAGCCAUGGCUGUGUUAAAAAGGAGUGUACCACAGUGGUUAGGAGGGGCAAACAGUGUUAGCCAGACUCAGCGUACUCAGUUUGAGUCACGUUGGAAGAAAGAUGUACAGCGAUUAUGAAGUGCUGAUACACGGUCAACAGAAAGUACAUACCCUUCUAGGAAAAGAUAAAGGGACCGGGGGCCUUAGUGUCAAGGGGUGGGGAGAAUUGUUGCUGAGAGUCCUGUGUAGUAACUGCGUGGUUUCUCUGGUCUCCGGGGCCUCCAUGCUGCCCACUUGGUCUUCAUUUGCAGCACAGCGUACAGCUAGCUGCUGGUUUGGGAAAGCUUGUGCCCCUUUCAUGAUACACUCCUGCAAGUAAACACAUCCAGACAAAUCCAAAGAACUGUGGUCCUGACACAGGAAUAAUCAAUACAUUUUCUGGCUGUGAUAAAUUGGUAAGAAAGGUGAUAAAAUAGUUGAGCUUAGGCAUGGGAUGACAUCUCUGGUGAUAAUUUUCUAAAGAUGAAAGGUAUUUUGAGUGGUAGAACGUUUAUGUCUUCAACACGUGGGACCCACUAUGAUAGGCAGGUUCAAAAGGAAGAUGACAGUGCCUGAUUACACUGCUGUGGGGACAUAAAGCAGCAUGUGGUGGGGCUUGUGGCAUUCAACCACCACCCCAUGUGGCUUCCUGAUGGAGUUGAAGUCCAGGCUUACCCCCAAAGGGCAGCCAUUGAGGUUUGCAAGAUGAAGGAGUUAGUGGUGAGCCAUCCCCCUGAGGCCCAGGUACCUAGGGGCAUGGACCUAGGAGGUGUGGCAGAAGACUUUGGGGUAACCACUGUGAGCAACAGGACUAGUGCACCACACCAGGUGCCCUGGAGAUUCCCAAGAGCAUGCAUGGUGAGGUGUAUGACUUGAAAGGAAGAGCAGGCAGCAGUUAAGAGGACUUGGUUGGGCAACAGGUUGAGCAAGGUAAAGAGGCUCCUGACUCAGCAGAGCUGUGAUGAGUGUGUUUGAAGGUAGUGGAUUCCAGAGAGAGGAGUGAGCAGGUGGAUAAGGCAAAGUCAGCAUAACGGCUUAGUUACUGUGUACUGUCACCCACUGUGGACCCGUGACACGAGAUCCCAGAAGAAAGUACAAGCCCAAGCCUGGAGGAAGAAGAGGUGGCAUUGGGACACAAUAGAGCACACACUGGCUAGGUCAAUGGAGAUGGGAGACGGAGCGGGAAGUUGGCGUAGUGGAUGUGGACUACAAAUCAAAUGAGUAUUGCGGUCUUGACUAGUGUGUAGACCUGUCUCCAAAGCAUUUGGGGGGAGAGGGGGCAGAGAGAGAGAGGGAGAGAAUGUGAGAGAGAGAGAGAGAGAGAGAGGAGAGAGAGAGAA